rnacentral:rRNA from 1 species
UACGAAGGGGGCUAGCGUUGCUCGGAAUUACUGGGCGUAAAGCGCACGUAGGCGGCUUUGCAAGUUAGAGGUGAAAGCCCGGGGCUCAACCCCGGAAUUGCCUUUAAAACUGCAUCGCUAGAAUUGUGGAGAGGUAAGUGGAAUUCCGAGUGUAGAGGUGAAAUUCGUAGAUAUUCGGAAGAACAUCCAGUGGCGAAGGCGACUUACUGGACACAUAUUGACGCUGAGGUGCGAAAGCGUGGGGAGCAAACAGG